UGACGCUGGCCAACAUCAAGAUCUGGGUGCUUACUGGAGACAAACAAGGUGAGAGCCCAACAGGGCAGAGGAAGUUACACCUGGGCAGUAUUCCCGUUGGAGCCUUGGUGGAGCCGCGGGCACCAGGCUGACCUGUCGGGAGCCUGCCUGUAGCCCCUGCACUCUUUCUUGGCUAGAGACUGCUGUGAACAUUGGCUAUUCCUGCAAGAUGCUGACGGACGACAUGACAGAGGUGUUCAUAGUCACAGGCCACACUGUCCUGGAGGUGAGAGAGGAGCUCAGGUAAGCCAGAGGCCCAGGGACAGGCUGGGGUUUCUGAAUCCUAUUGAGACUUCUGUCCUGAUUCACUGCUGUUGUCCUGGGUCACCACCAUUCCAUCUCUACCUUCACAGGAAAGCCCGGGAGAAGAUGAUGGACUCUUCCCGCACCGUAGGCAACGGCUUCACCUGCCAGGAGAAACUUUCUUCUUCCAAGCUCACAUCUGUCUUGGAGGCCGUUGCUGGGGAGUAUGCUCUGGUCAUCAAUGGUCACAGCCUAGUAAGUGUUAUCAUCCUUAGCUUGAGUGGUAUUCUUCCAGAAAUCCCUUUUCUCAAUACGGCUUGUAGAUUUUUUUCUUCUCAUUUCCCUUGACUUCAGAGGGGGUUGUGAUCUUCAAGGGGCAGGGAAGAGCUGAAGCCACUAGGUGUUCCCUGGGAAGACUGUGCCUCUUUCAGGUGUUCUGUGUUCCAGGCCCAUGCGUUGGAGGCAGACAUGGAGCUGGAGUUCCUGGAAACAGCGUGUGCCUGCAAAACUGUCAUCUGCUGCCGGGUGACCCCCUUGCAGAAGGCACAAGUGGUGGAACUGGUUAAGAAGUACAAGAAGGCGGUGACACUUGCCAUUGGAGAUGGGGCCAAUGAUGUCAGCAUGAUCAAAAGUGAGUGUAGUCUGUGUGCAUGGGUGGGCUGGGCAGGAGGGGGGAGGUGCCCUGAGGUCGGCUGGGGAGAGGGACUGUAACUUGGUGGGGUCUGAAGGGGGCGGCCACCCUCACCUGUCCUCCUCUCUCACCUCCACAGCGGCUCACAUCGGUGUGGGCAUCAGCGGGCAGGAAGGGAUCCAGGCUGUCCUGGCCUCCGAUUACUCCUUCUCGCAGUUCAAGUUCCUGCAGCGCCUCCUGCUGGUGCAUGGGCGCUGGUCCUACCUGCGCAUGUGCAAGUUCCUCUGCUAUUUCUUCUACAAGAAUUUCGCUUUUACCAUGGUUCACUUCUGGUUUGGCUUCUUCUGUGGCUUCUCGGCCCAGGUAGCGAAUGUACCCAAGCUGUGAUGCAUAUCUGUAAAUUUUUUAAGGGCAGAGGAGGUUGUAUUUGACCUGUUUGCUGCCUAAUCCCAUUGUCUAGUGCAUGCAUUUAAAAAAAAAAAUUGUUGAAAGAGUAGGGAUCCCCAAGAAGCCCUAAGCUCUACAUCAGCUGUCACAUCAGUCACUUCCCGUGCCUGAUGUGCAGUGAAGAGAGGUUGCGACUCCCUUUUCCCUGUCCGCUCUCUUGCAGAUGUGUACGAUCAAUAUUUCAUCACCUUGUACAACAUCGUGUACACCUCCCUCCCCGUCCUGGCUAUGGGCGUCUUUGACCAGGUAUGGGGGAGGUGGACGGCCAGGUAGGCGGGGGGAAGAGCACUGCUGUUACAGUGUGGACAUGGGACACGUGUGCCUGCCGACUUGUGGACACGGGGAAGGCCCUUUCAGCAGGGGAGGGUGUGGGGCAGGCUCCCCUCAGGUACAGCUUCUCCACAGCUCUCCUGAGUUGCUGAACAAAAACUGGGAGCAGCUGGCUUGAGGUUGUUGUUGCUAAAGUCUGUGGAAAGGAGGUUUGAGAGACAGGGUCUGCCUUAGUGAUCCUCAUCGGUCAUGUGGCCCUCCCCAUUCAGGAUGUGCCAGAGCAGCGGAGCAUGGAGUACCCUAAGCUCUACGAGCCAGGCCAGCUGAAUCUCCUCUUCAACAAGCGGGAGUUCUUCAUCUGCAUCGCCCAGGGCAUCUACACCUCUGUGCUGAUGUUCUUCAUUCCCUAUGGGGUGUUUGCUGAGGCGACCCGAGAUGAUGGGACCCAGCUGGCCGAUUACCAGUCCUUUGCGGUCACUGUGGCCACGUCACUGGUCAUCGUGGUCAGUGUGCAGGUAUGAAGCCUCCAAAGAACUGCCCUUUCCUAUGGGAGGAGUGAGCCUUCUGUCCUUAGAGCUGUUCUCAGUGUCCCACUUUAGUUUCUGGGGGGGGGGAGUUUUUAGGGGCUCUCCUGCCUGUGACAGCUCUGACCUCUUUCUGCAGAUUGGACUGGAUACAGGAUAUUGGACAGCCAUCAACCACUUCUUCAUCUGGGGCAGCCUCGCUGUUUACUUUGCCAUCCUCUUUGCCAUGCAUAGCAAUGGGCUCUUUGACAUGUUUCCAAACCAGUUCCGAUUUGUGGGUGAGUCCCUGUGGCUUCCUCUUGAGUCUUCUUUAGGAAUUACAGCUGUUCUAGGACUCGCAGGGUAGUCGGCCAGUGUGCACAUCACAAGCGUUUAUCAGCACUCCUUAUGUGCCAGGUAGCUGACCCGUCAGCAGGACAUCAGGGGUAGCUGGUCUAGACCCGGUCCCAAAGAGUUUCUGUAACCAUGAAAGUGAUGAAGCCCUUCUAGGCUGUGGGAGGUCAGGGCUCUGAGGCGGUCAGGGGUGGCAGGCUUUGUGGUUAGCAGAGACCCUGCCAGUGGGGUGGCCAUGGUUAGUCCCCCAGAAGAGGCUGCUAUGAGCAGAGCCAGGAAGUACAAAGAAGCAAGUGUUUCUGGGGAAUAAAAAGUGCUCUAGCUGGAUGGGCCCUGGAGAAUAGAGGGGGCUAGAGGCUGGAGGGCGGGCCUUCAGCUCUAAGAAUGACAGCUGCCAGCCUUUCAUGUGCUUUGCCACAAGUCUUCAUUUAUUUAGAGGAAGGGGGACAAAUGACAUCAAAAGAUUGAGUGUUAGAGCUGGGUACAGUGGUGCACGCCUGUAAUCCUAGCCUCUUGGAGGCCGAGACAGGAGGAUCACAAGUUCAAAGACAGCCUCUGCAAUGGCAAGAUGCUAAGCAACUCAGUGAGACCCUGUCUCUAAAUAAAUACAAAAUAGGGCUAGGGAUGUGCCCCAGGGGUCGAGUGCCCCUGAGUCCAAUCCCUGGUACCCCGCCCCCCCCAAAAAAAAAAAAAAAAGAUUGAGUAUUAGGAAUGUGAAGCAAGAGUUAAGCGUAGAGGCAAAUGCCUGCAAUCCCAGCUUCUCGGAGGAUGAGGCAGGAGAAGUGCAUGUUCAAGGCCAACCUGGGCCACCGAGUGAAACCCUGUUACAAAAUCAAAAAAUGCUGGGCACGGUGGCACACACCUAUAAUCCCAGCAACUCCGGAGGCUGAGGCAGGAGGAUGGCAAGUUUGUGGUCAGGUAUGUCCCUAGCCCCAGAACUUUGAAUUUUAAUUGAAAUUUGAUGGGAAGCCAUUGGAGGGCUUGAGGCAGGAAGUGUCAUAAAAUGAUAAUGUUUUUAAAGGACCACUUCUAUUGUUGUGUGACUAAAAUAAAGUAUAGGGAGUAAAGGUGGAAAUGGGGAGACCAGUUGGAGGCUAUUGCAGGAUUUGAGGAUGACACGUGAUGGCUUGGGACACAGUGAAGGGCAGAGGGACUCCCUAGACAUUUUGAAAAUGGAGCCAACAGAUUGAAUGUGGGUUGUGAGCAAGACAGAAAAGUGGUGAUGGGUGGGGGGUUUAAUCAGAGCCGCUCGGUGAGUGGUAGUUGUUUCCUGAGCUGGGAAAGGCGUGAGCAGAUUUGGGGUGGAAGAGAAGGUGGUUCACUGUGGUCGAGGUGAAACUUGAGAUGCCUGUUGCAUAUUCAACCAUAGUUAAGGAAAUAGCUCUGGGGCUUUUGGGGGAGAAUUUGGAACCAGUCAAACGUCAAAUGUGGAGAUAAGCAUUUGAGGAGUGGGCAGAGAGAAGAGGGAAGCCAAGAUGAUUUAGGUUUUGAGAUUGGGGAAGUGGAACUGCCAGAAAUAGAAAUGGAGAAGUCAGGGGCUACCCUUGUGUCCACUUUGUGAGUCCCAAGGCCCCCGUCUCCUGUGUACCUCCAGGGAAUGCCCAGAACACCCUGGCCCAGCCCACAGUGUGGCUCACCAUCGUGCUCACCACGGUCGUCUGCAUCAUGCCUGUGGUGGCCUUUCGGUUCCUCAGGCUCAGCCUGAAGCCAGACCUGUCUGACACGGUGAGCCGUCCUGGGCUGUCCGCUCCGGGGGCGGAGACCCUUGGCCGGAAGGGCUGUCUCAGGCACCGGUGUGGCUGUCUCGGGACUGUGGCUUGGGGGUUGGUGGUGGUCCUAAGCUGCACAGGCGUGGAGGGUCCUGUGCUGGCCUGUCCCAGGGCCCCGGCUCCCUUCUCCGUGGUGGCGUGUCACACCGCUGGCUCUUCCCGUGUCCCCCAGGUCCGCUACACGCAGCUGGUGAGGAAAAAGCAGAAAGCGCAGCACCGCUGCAUGCGGCGGGCCGGCCGCACGGGGUCGCGGCGCUCGGGCUACGCCUUCUCGCACCAGGAGGGCUUCGGGGAGCUCAUCAUGUCUGGCAAGAACAUGCGGCUCAGCUCCCUGGCGCUGUCCAGCUUCACCGCCCGCUCCAGCUCCAGCUGGAUCGAGAGCCUGCGCAGGAAGAAGAGCGACAGCGCCGGCAGCCCCGGCGGCGGGGCCGAGAAGCCCCUCAAGGGGUGAAGACCUGCGGUCACAGGACACUCCGUGCUGGUGACCAGAGCAGCUGGCCAGUGGGGCGCCAAGGGAACAGUAUCUCGAACUGUUGGUCCUCGCUCUCUGCCUCCCGUCUCCUCUGGUAGCAAAAAAAUAUAAAAUUAAAAAAUAAAAAG
rnacentral:lncRNA from 1 species